rnacentral:rRNA from 1 species
UACGUAGGGUGCAAGCGUUGUCCGGAAUUAUUGGGCGUAAAGAGCUCGUAGGCGGUUUGUUGCGUCGGCUGUGAAAUCCCGAGGCUCAACCUCGGGUCUGCAGUCGAUACGAGCAAACUAGAGUGUUGCAGGGGAGACUGGAAUUCCUGGUGUAGCGGUGAAAUGCGCAGAUAUCGGGAGGAACACCAGUGGCGAAGGCGGCUUUCUGGGCAUUUCCUGACGCUGAGACGCGAAAGCGUGGGGAGCGAACCGG